CCUACGGGAGGCUGCAGUAGGGAAUCUUUCACAAUGGGCGAAAGCCUGAUGGAGCAACGCCGCGUGCAGGAUGAAGGCCUUCGGGUUGUAAACUGCUUUUAUAAGCGAGAAAUAUGAUGGUAACUUAUGAAUAAGGAUCGGCUAACUACGUGCCAGCAGCCGCGGUCAUACGUAGGAUCCGAGCAUUAUCCGGAGUGACUGGGUGUAAAGAGUUGCGUAGGUGGCAUAAUAAGUAGCUAGUGAAAUCUGGUGGCUCAACCAUUAAGACUAUUAGCUAAACUGUUAAGCUCGAGACCGUUAGAGGUAACUGGAAUUUCUAGUGUAGGAGUGAAAUCCGUAGAUAUUAGAAGGGACACCAAUAGCGUAGGCAGGUUGCUGGGACGGUUCUGACACUAAGGCACGAAAGCGUAGGGAGCAAACGGGAUUAGAUACCCUUGUAGUC
rnacentral:rRNA from 1 species